rnacentral:rRNA from 1 species
UACGGUGGGAGCAAGCGUUGUUCGGAUUUACUGGGCGUAAAGGGCGCGUAGGCGGCCUCUGCAAGUCGACUGUGAAAUCUCCGGGCUUAACCCGGAAAGGUCAGCCGAUACUGCAGGGCUAGAGUGCAGAAGGGGCAACUGGAAUUCUCGGUGUAGCGGUGAAAUGCGUAGAUAUCGAGAGGAACACCUGCGGCGAAGGCGGGUUGCUGGGCUGACACUGACGCUGACAGCGCGAAAGCUAGGGGAGCAAACGGG